UACGGAGGGUGCAAGCGUUGUCCGGAUUUAUUGGGUUUAAAGGGUGCGUAGGCGGCCCGUUAAGUCAGUGGUGAAAGCCUCCAGCUCAACUGGAGAACUGCCAUUGAUACUGACGGGCUUGAGUUCAGACGAGGUUGGCGGAAUUGAUUGUGUAGCGGUGAAAUGCAUAGAUACAAUCAAGAACUCCGAUUGCGUAGGCAGCUAACUAGGCUGUAACUGACGCUGAGGCACGAAAGCGUGGGGAGCGAACAGG
rnacentral:rRNA from 1 species